AUUGUGUUAAAAAAUGCAUAACAUAAAAUUGACCAUCUUCGCCGUUUCCUUUUACAGUACAGUCAUGUUAGCUAUAUGCACAUUGUUGUGCAACAGAUCUCUAGAACGUUUUCAUCUUGCGAAACUGAAACUCUUUACCCGUUUAACGACAUCUCCUUUUGCCCCUCCCCCACCCCCGGCAGUCAUCAUUCCACUUUGUGUUUCUAGGAGUUUGGCUACUUUAGAUACCUCAAUAAGAGUCACCAUACAGCAUUUGUCUUUUUGUGACCAACAUUUCAUUUGACAUAAUGUCCUCAAGGUCCAUCUAUAUUGUAGCAUGUGACAGGAUUUCCUUCUCUUUAUUUUUGGGGUUUUUUUAAGGAAGAUUAGCCUUGAGCUAAUAUCUGCCACCAAUCCUCCUCUUUUUGCUGAGGAAGACUGGCCCUGAGCUAACCUCCGUGCCCAUCUUCCUCUGCUUUAUAUGUGGGACGCCUCCCACAGCAUGGCUUGUCAAGUGGUGCCAUGUCCGCACCCGGAACCGAACUGGCAAACCCCAGGCCGCUGAAGCGGGAACAUGCGAACUUACCCACUGCACCAUGGGGCCAGCCCCAAGGAUAUCCUUCUUUUUAAGUCUGAAUGAUAUUCCAUGGCGUAUAUAACAGAAGAUUUUGCUGCACCAUUUUACUGCCCAACCACAGUGCUACUUGAGUAUUCUCACAACAUGGCAGCUGGCUUCUCCUAGAGCAAGAAAUCCAAGAGAGAGAGCAAGGUAGAAGCCAUGAUACCUUUUAUGACCUAGUCUGGGAGGUCUCGCCCUUCUACUUCCACCAAAUUCUAUAUUCACCAGAAGCAAGUCACUAAGUCCAGCCUACACUCCAGCAGAGGAGAAUUAAGCAACAUCAGAAGUAUUGAAGAAUUUAUGAACCUGUUUGAAACCACAAUAGUCCCACAGCUUUCUUCUUACCCAAGCAGGCCCCUAUCUGGUCCUCAAGACACGUUCACACAUCCUGUGCCCUACACACUGGGGGUGGGGGGGCCAAGCCACAUGCAGCAAUGCUCUCCUGGCUCUGCCAAAAGCAGCUGGUCACAGGUGGGAGUCCACACUCUUCCUUGAGUUGACACUGAUCCUGUGUCCCCCCACGGAAAGCACUUGUCAAAGUUCUCCUAGUGUCCUCCAGCCCGGGGCUAGAAGGAAGCACCCACACACAGACACAACUCUCCAGAAAGGGAAGCUGGGGGCCCAGAGCACAGCAACAGUUCUCCCCAAAGACAUCCCAUCACCGAGUCUUGUUCUUUUCUCUCUCUCCUCACUCACUCUUUUUCAAGGACAUCCAACGGUCAAGAAGCAGGUUCCCAGAGAUUUCCAUUGAAGACAAUGCAGAAUUGUCUCCCAUUCACUUUGCCAGGAAAAGUCUCAGGCUCGCAUCUUUCAUAUUGGUAUAUAAAAGGAUAAAGAACCCAUCAGAAACCAGGAAAAGGGAUGAUGUAUUCACAAAUCAUGUGAGUAAGGCUGGCUCUUGGAUUUAAGAAAAUCUUAAAUUAGAUACUAUGUAUCAUAUGCCAAAAAAAAAUCACUCCAGAUAUGUCAACAAAAAAAGAAACAACUUAGGGGCUGGCCCCGUGGCCGAGUGGUUAAGUUCGCACGCUCCGCUGCAGGCGGCCCAGUGUUUCGUUGGUUCGAAUCCUGGGCGUGAACAUGGCACUGCUCAUCAGACCACGCUGAGGCAGCGUCCCACAUGCCACAACUAGAAGGACCCACAACGAAAUAUACAACUAUGUACCAGGGGGCUUUGGGGAGAAAAAGGAGAAAAAUAAAAUCUUUAAAAAAAAAAAAGAAAAAGAAACAACGUAAAAACUAGAAAACCUUUAAGUGGAUACUGGACCAAUUUUGAAAUAACAGAACCUUCUAAGCCUAAAGGCAUUGGGGGGAAACCCACUGAGAAAAAAAAUAAUGGGUUUAACAGUUGUUUUUAGCUAAACGCUUAAUAGACAUUGAGAACUUACCACUAAACUGAACCUCAGAAAAUCGUCUCCUAGGAUCAGAUGCGGUAAAGACCCCAAGAAAUCAAUCUACACGUUUUGUGACAGACCAAGAGAUAUCUUCCUGUAAUAGUCCAUGAGUCACCUUGAACUGAACCCAAUGUAGCACGUUCUAAACUCUGCAGUGAGACUAUUUUCCACUGCAAAAAAAAAAAAAUCGUUUUGAUAAUGAACACAGCCAGAGAGAAGGCUAGAUUUUUUGUUCAUUCAUUUCACAAAAGCUACCAUGAGCCCAGACUCUGCCCAGCUCUGUUCCAGGCUCAUGGACCCAAUGGUGAAUCAGACCGUGGUCCCUCCCUCCCUCGUGCAUUAUACCUUCUUUGGAGGCAGAGGGACAAUACAUAGGUACAGAAAUUUACAAACUUGUUUUCAUAUUGUGAAAAAUUGCAUCAUAAUAUGAGCCUGUAUUUCUACAGCCCAGAAUUUUCUUUGAACUGUGUUUUCACCAUUUGGCAGAAAACCCCAUUGAAAGCUGUGGUUCUCAACCUUUGCUGCACUUUGGACUAAUGUGGGAAAAUUUUAAAAAUACUAUGCUUGGGUCCCACUCCCAGAGAUUCUGACAUAAUUUGUCUGGGGUACCAUUUAGGCAUCAGGAUGUUUUUAAUCUCCUCCAGCGCUUUUAAUGCGCAGCCAGGGGGAGAACCACUGAAAGGGGUAGAUAAAAGAAAUGACCACUAGAUGUCGCUAUCCCCAAAGGUUUGACGAGAAAACAGACGACACGUCGUUGACUAAAUGCUCACACAGAUAGACUUCCUUUUGCCAGAUUUUGGACCCUAAGAAAAGCCCAACAGAAAAUAUUCCUCAAUUUCUCUUUGGCCUGAAUGAAGCAAAUCGCCCAAAACCUAAGUGUGUUAGAUUCCUCAAGCUGUCAAAACAAAAUACCACAGACUGGGUAUCCACAAAAACAGAAAUUUAUUCCUCACAAUUCUGGACGCUAGAGGUACAAGAUCAAAGGGUCAGCAGGGUUGGCUUCAACUGAGGUCUCUCUCCUUGGCUGAGAGAUGGCUACCUUCUCGCUGUGUCCUCGCCUGGUUCUGGUCAUCCUUCUGCUGGAGUUGUCUGUGUCCUCAUCUCCUCUGCCCGUAAGCACUCCAGUCACAUUCAAUUAGGGUCUACCUAUAUGACCUCGUUUUACUGUAAUCACCUCUUUAAAGGCCCCAUCUCCAAAUACAUUCACAUUCUGAGGCACCUGGGGUCAGGACUUCCACAUAAGGAUUUUGAGGGGACACCAUUCACCAAUAACACCAAGAAAUCAAACCCAAAAACAAUCCAGUUGAUUAACUGCAAAAGAACAGUUUCCUAGCCAUGCACAGUUCUCUCACACAGUAACUAUGGCGCGAGAGCCGCAUUUUUUUGGUCUCCUUUCCAAAGACCACACCUGUGAUUCAAUUUUAAUUCAAAGCUUUUUAAAUAGACCCCACACACUUAGAAUUCAAGUAUUCAGUGGUUAUUUACUCCUGUUUCCUGAACCAGGACACUUGAGCUAAAGAAAAAAAAAAGAAAGAAAAAAAGCACAACAGCCUGAGAGAAAAGGAACAGAGCUAUGUGAUUGUUCUGGCAUAAGUUAUGUUCUUCUUAUUUUUACAACACGAGCAAUGCACGUUCAUUGAAGAAAAGUUAGAAAGCAAAAUACAAAAAACUAAAGUCAUCCAAACUCCACUACGAAAGUCACACUUAGAAUAUGUCCAUGAAGACUUUUCCUCACUGUGUAUGUGUGUGUGUCCUCGAAAGAGGAACCAUGUGAUUUUGUCACCUGCUUUUCUUCACAUCAUAAAAUAUUCUGAACACUUUUCCACACCAAUACUAAUGCAGGGAGGACUUGAGAGAAGGAAUCUAUCAUAAUUUUAUGUAGUUCUGUAUUUAUUUAGAUAAAAAUGAUAUAUGUGUACACAGGAAAAUUUCAAACCACAGUGGAGGGUAUAAACGAAAAGGAAAACCCCAUUUCUCCUCUUCAUCCCCACCCCUACCCCCCAAACUCAUCAAUCAAGGACGAAACAUUAAAUUAGGACGGGCACUCUGUGCAGGUUGAUCCCCACGUCCUAUGAACCUGCCGCUGCAUUGGAGCUGUGUGCUGAACAGUGACGUAAGGGUUGCCGAAAGUCCUUGUCUACCACAGAAAGCAAAAAAACAAAAGCCUGCAGCUGCCAGUCAGCGUGUCCGAAUCCCACCACCAAAGUCACCCUUCCAGAGACUCUUUCUCUUUAGGGUUGUUAUGGCGGUUGCCUCCAAGCAUGAUUGACUUGAGUUAACGCGCUCACACCCGCUUUUCUGUCUGGUGAAACCCUUCCUGUCCAUUGAACACUACGCAAGAGAAGGUUCUAGAACUGCGCCCUCCCAUACCGUUGCCGCUAGAUGCCUAUGGCUGUUUACAUUUACAUUUGUUGAAAUGAAAAAUUUAGCAAAACCGUGAAGUCUGGCGCCCCCUUUCCUGCGCCUCCUCACUGAUACUGAGCAACAACCGACCCAGGGCAGCGACGUGUCCCGGGGCUCCCAGGCACGGCCGGCCGGAGAGGAGCUGCAGAGGCCGGGGGCGCUUCCACACUGCCUACAGUCAACUCAGGCCCCAGGACCGUCUUUAAAACCAAGCUGCCACCCCCGAUUUGCAUUUUUGUUGCAAAGGAACCCUUAAGGACCUCACCAGGAGCCCAGAGCCGUGUGAGCACAACCAAGCGAGGUUAGAAAGAAAGGAUCCCUGGGGGCAAGCCCUCCCACCUACAAAUGCCAGCCCAGCAUCCCGACCCUCACACCCCUUUAAAGGUUCCCAACAGGCUCAACAUCCUGUUCCCCUCGUCCCAAAUCCUCGCGGGAGUCACAUGUUCAGACCAGAACUGAACAGCCCCGCCCGGUGGUGGAAGGAAAGAGAGCCCGUUCCGGCGCCAAAAUCCAUGGGCACCAGCCGCCCGGGAGGAGUUCCAGCUUUAUCAGGGAAGACACGCUGAGCCCUUCGGGGAGGGAUUCGCUCCCAAGAGAGGGCAUCCCACACCAAAAGCAAACUAAAAUAGCUUCAAGACACCCCAAGCAAAGUGGAAAUUUCCCCGAGCUUUGCCGGGCAGGAACGUGUCUAAAUUGCUGCCCCAAAAAAUCCCGCGACAGUGAUGCCCACCCCGCCACACACCCCCCUCAACCACCCCCCACCCCCGCUGAUUCAGAAGCACCAACAACACGACAAACUCGCUUGAACUUCAAGCCGCCACAUGCUGGAAUAAGCACAGGGAGAAACCAAAUACCUUUCACAAAACCUGAAACAACCAGCCGCUCCUCCGGUAGCUCAUGCGCGCACACGUGCACACACGCCACUGAGUAUCUCACGGCAAAUGAAACACAUCCUAGGAGCAAUCCGGCUGUGAAAUUUCCUGGCGAGUUUCAGCACAAGCCAGGCAGGUUUCAUAGAAUCACAGAAGCAAGUUUUUACCGUUUUCUGCUUUUCUUCCACACUUUCUCUCUUUCCUGCCCUGCCUACAGCCUUCUCGGCUCUUAGCCAAGUGAACUGCACCCAAGACAGCAGCCUGCACACCUUUAAAAGCUCUGGGUUCACUACCGGCUUAAUCUCAUGGCCAGCUGGACAGAGGAGGGAAGAGGCUGAGCUCCGUCGUGCUGAACAGCAUCACAGGGCCCUAGGGAGCUGUGCUCACCCAGGGAAUGGGGAAGGAAGGAGCAAUGAAGCAGAUCUGAGAGCAGGCCCCUGCUGCCCUGCUCCUGAAGCUGGCAGCUGGUGAGGCUGGGUCCCUGGAGACUGAGAGAAGCCCUGGGAGAAAGUCUGGCCGUGUUCAGGGUGCUUUCUGUCGGUGAAGGGCACUGUCAAUCAAGUGCAGCAAUUGCGGGAAGCAGCAUCUUGCGUGCCCCUGAUCCCUUUCCAUACAGAAAACCCACCCUCAGCAUUAGCUUCUUUAAUGAUUUCUGGUCUUAGAAGGCCCUCCAGUAUAAAGCAAACAGCCAAGAAAGGGGAAAACUUCAGUUUUAUCAGCUGCCAUCAUCCUGCUGUCAUGAGGAAAUAGGAAACAGGAUGGAGGUCUGAGGACUGGCAGGAACUCAAAGGAAACCCCGAGAAAAAGAAAAGGAAGCUGGAGCAGCCAGAGGUGUUAUUUUGCUGGAACUGACCCUGGACACAAUGACCAAAAGCUAACAAUUUCCAGUCAAGUUCAAGUUCAGGGCCCCAAUAGCCCAGUCCACACGCUAGUUCCCAGGACAACGACUCGGGUCCCGCUGGGAACUUCAGCCUUCUGUUGGGCAAACAGGGGAAACAAGACCCAAAGGGGUUGGUCAGAGGCCGUUGGGUGAAUGUGACUCACAGAGAACUUGGUUUGUGUGAUACAGUUUUGGCCCCCGCAGGGUUUUUAAAAUCUGAAAUACCAGCCAACAUUUAAAGAUCAAGAGAUUUCACCUUUAAAAAAAAAAAAUCCAGAUCAUCGCUUCUCUUGAGAAAUCAGCUCUCUGGCUCUGUUGGUUCACUUUCUGGUUGGAGCUGAGUCAUGGCUGCAGCUUGGCAGGCGCCCUCCACAGUCGCCCACUCCCACUGUCUCCUCGCCCUGCAAUUGCUGUCAGAGGCCGUUCAUCCUCGCUGUGACUGUGACAUUAACACUCCAGCCGGCUUCACUUGUGUGCUGUAAGCAAUGGGCUGUGGCCGUGUCCUAACAUAUACGGGGGAGAGGCUGCACGCUGGGGGGCAUAAUGAGGCCAUGGCAGUCCCAGUGCCCCCAUGACCAAAGGGCACAGGCUCUGGGGAGCCUCAGGGGAACUUGUAGCAGAGGGUUUCGCCUAAGGAGCUAAGUUAUUACCCCCCAGGAAGAGGAGGUCUUGAGGCUGGUCUGUCAAUACCAACAUUAGGCUCCAUUGAGCAUGGCAGACUGCAUCCCGGCUCCUCAUGACAGGAAGAGCCACAUACAGGUGUCAAGGCCAUGCCUAAGGGAGGGAGGUAUUCUUGGCCAAUCCUGUUGAUGAGACAGCCUGGCGAACCUCAGGAACAAACUCGGCUCACCAGGUGGCACGAGAAGUGGCAUCCCCAGGAAGUCGAGGCUGCUCCGGAUGUUGAUGACCAGGUUUGGUGCUGGGUCUGUACCUUGUGCGUGUCAGCAACACUAUUAAUGUCUCAGAGGAAGCACUCCUUCAGGUGUCGUCAAGCCUUAGAGCAGGAUGGGCACUCCUCAAACAUCCGGUGGGCAUCUCUCCUAUCACUGAGAGAACCGGAGCCCAAGAGGCCGAGAGAUGCUCCAGAGGUCAGAGAGCUCACUGACAGAGCCAGAGCCGCACUGGGAGCCCUGACUUCUGACUCUGAGCCAUUCCCCUAGCCCACGCUGCUCCAAUCACCAGGAAAGGAUACGGAGCCAUGUAGGAGGUUUUCCAUUUUUACUCAAUUGAGCCCAGAUUUCUUUUAAGCGUAGCUACUUUUUCUGAAACUCAAGCUGUCCAAAACCCUACCACGUAAGCUUACUGCAAACGUUGGGGUCAAGCCAUGAUCAAAGUUAAGAGUUGAGUGCCCAGUAGCCAAAUGGGGCAGGGUAUCCUUCCGGAGAAAAUCUCAAGUCCUAGUGCCAGCAGAAGAGCCAGAGCCAAGUUCUUGAGAGAAAGCCAGGAGUUUCACCAGGGAGUCCAGCCUAAUUCCAGGAGUAUAGAGGCAAAAGGAGGAAAAGGAUGGGAGCCCCGGAGUUGAAGGUCAGAUUGGAAGGGGAUCAGAUGGAAGAGGGGUGGCAGGGCUCUAGGGACCCCAUUCACAUUGUAGUCUAAGGAUUAGAGCCCCCUGGAAUUGGGCAGUGCACAGGCUGCACAACUACACAUGGUGGCAUGACCAGGAGUGACAAAAUGACGUGUAUCAAAUAAAUGUUGCUCUGAAUGGCACAAGACUGUUUGUGGCUCACCCAUUUUGGUCAGGGGCUAAGUAGUACAGGACACUACAAGUUGACUUAAAGGUGAAGUAUUCCUUGCUAAUUUGUAGCCUGACACUAAUCCAUGGAUAUAAAUAUAUGUUUAUUUGAGUUUAUUACAUUCACAAGUAUAUGGGUUUAAUAUCUUAAAUGCAAAACAAAUCCAAGAAAGAAUGUGUAGGUGUGGGGGAUUGGAAUUAGCCACCCCAAGGUAUGUCUCUUUGGCAUGAGGAUUAUUUUGGGCUGGUUACUUUUGAAAACUGCAGACAUGAGAGAAAUCCUGAGAAGUAGAAGUUACCCUAUGUGAGACAUAUUUACAUUUGUAAAGGAAAUCUCUAUCUAUAAAGGUGUCUUCCUCUCUGUAGCAGGAAGAAGGGAGGAUGAUCUUAUCUCUAGAAACUCUCAUCAAUGCAGAAGUCCAGGACUUAAAUCUUAAAUCUUGCUUACUGUGCUUUUCUGAUAAUCUCCCAUAACUGACUCCCCCCACCCCCAACAUCCUCUUUUGUCUUUAGCUAAGGAUGGUAUAUAAGGUGAGAGCUUCCGCCAUUUUGGUGAGUUGCUCAGUUUUCCUGAGUGUCUCCCAUGUAUACAUGUUAUAAAGCUUUGUUUUGAUUUUCUCCUGUUAUUCUGUCUCAUGUCAAUUUAAUUCAUGGUCUGGCCAGAAGGGCCUAGAGUGGGUAGAGGAAAUGUCUUUCUCCGCUACAUAGGGAAAUAUCUUUACGGUAUUGAAACUUCUUUUGAGUCCUAGGGGUCCCUCCUUCUAGCCAAGCCGUGGCUCAGUCCUAUUGAAUUAGUGUCAUUCCUUGUGCCCUGGGGAAGGAAGCACCACUUCCCCCCAGGUCAAAGAAGUCAUUUUUGGAGUUUCAGUAUAGAAUUUUUAGGGUCCAUAAAGAGAUAAUAGUUUUGAAAGCCAGGUCUUGUUCAGAAAGAGAAAGGUCUUCUAAAUUCCAAAGCUCCCCUUUUUCUAUCAGGAGUGAAACUUGAGAUCUUAGCCCAGAUUUGUACUAUAAACCACAUGCAAAGAGCAUGCAAGAUUGGAUGUCAGGGUAUAGUUGUUGUCCAGGCAAAAUAACCAAUAACUAUCCUAUAGAUAAGAAAGGUAAGGUGAGUUUGACUUGGGCUAGAGUGAGGAUUAUAACCAGGAAAGGCCUUUUCCAGAAAGGAAGAGAGCAUUCCGGAGAGGCAUGGUUUCCAGUACAGUCUUAUACCUUUUUAGAACAAAGAACAUACAUUAAACACACCCAGGAUACAUACUCACCAAUGUUUCAAGAGGUAUUCAGUUGCAAAUCAGCAGGUCAACAUGACCCUGAUGUCAGGAAAGGGACUAAUACAGGCGUUACCGAUAGGACAUAGGAGAGGAAAUAUGCAUUCUUAUCUUAAGAGAAUGCAUUCUUUACUUAAACGGUUAAAGUAGCUGUACAGUAGAUAU
ensembl:lncRNA